AUUCUCUCAGCUCUGCUCAACUGUACCUGUCCUGUGGUAUGGUUGUCGUCAAUGGAGAGAGAAAGUAUACUGAACACAGCAAUGCACGGCAGGAGUGUACCCCCCAGUGGUCUUCCUGUUCCCUUACCAGUGUUCAACAUGA